rnacentral:rRNA from 1 species
UGGGGAAUUUUGCACAAUGGGGGAAACCCUGAUGCAGCGACGCCGCGUGAUUUAGAAGGCCUUCGGGUUGUAAAAAUCUUUUCUAUGGGAAGAAAAUGACAGUACCAUAGGAAUAAGGACCGGCUAAUUACGUGCCAGCAGCCGCGGUAAUACGUAAGGUCCGAGCGUUGUCCGGAAUCAUUGGGCGUAAAGGGUACGUAGGCGGUUAAGCAAGUUAGAAGUGAAAUCCUAUAGCUCAACUAUAGUAAGCUUUUAAAACUGCUCAUCUUGAGGUAUGGAAGGGAAAGUGGAAUUCCUAGUGUGGCGGUGAGAUGCGCAGAUAUUAAGAGGAAUACCGGUGGCGAAGGCGACUUUCUGGCCAUAACCUAACGCUGAGGUACGAAAGCGUGGGUAGCUAACAGG